rnacentral:rRNA from 1 species
AAUGAACGUUGGAGGCAUGGAUUAGGCAUGCAAGUCGAGCGAGAAGGAUAUCAAAGUUUACUUUGAUAUCCGGAAAGCGGCGCAAGGGAGAGUAACGCGUAGUUAUCUACCCCAAGGCCCGGAAUAGCUGCGGGAAACUGCAGGUAAUGCCGGAUAAUAUCCCAGGAUCAAAGGUGUGAUUCCGCCUUGGGAGGAGACUGCGUUGUACUAGCUUGUUGGUAGGGUAAUGGCCUACCAAGGCUACGAUGCAUAGCGGGCGUGAGAGCGUGGCCCGUCUCACUGGGACUGAAACACUGCCCAGACACCUACGGGUGGCUGCAGUCGAGAAUCUUCGGCAAUGGGCGAAAGCCUGACCGAGCAAUGCCGCGUGCGGGAUGAAGGCCCUCGGGUUGUAAACCGCUGUCGUAGGGGAGAAAGGUCUCAUGAAGAAUGAGAUUUGAUCUAUCCUAGGAGGAAGUCCGGGCUAAGUUCGUGCCAGCCGCCGCUGUAAAAC